rnacentral:lncRNA from 1 species
UUUCUUUGAGCCACCCCGUGAUAACUACCGAACCGGGCAGGGUAACUCUCGUAAGUAUUAUGGCUAUCAUCAGGCCGCUGGCCACGACACUAACGAGUGUUGCAAUUUGAAAGACUUUGUGGAGAGGAAGAUUAAAGAUGGCUUGUUGGUGCAGUAUGUAGCCGUAAAUGAUCAGCAGAACAUUAACCGUGCUGUUCAG